rnacentral:rRNA from 1 species
AUUGAACGCUGGCGGCAUGCUUUACACAUGCAAGUCGAACGGUAACAGGCCGCAAGGUGCUGACGAGUGGCGAACGGGUGCGUAAUGCAUCGGAACGUGCCCAGUCGUGGGGGAUAACUACUCGAAAGAGUAGCUAAUACCGCAUACGAUCUAUGGAUGAAAGCGGGGGACCGUAAGGCCUCGCGCGAUUGGAGCGGCCGAUGUCAGAUUAGGUAGUUGGUGGGGUAAAGGCUCACCAAGCCAACGAUCUGUAGCUGGUCUGAGAGGACAACCAGCCACACUGGGACUGAGACACGGCCCAGACUCCUACGGGAGGCAGCAGUGGGGAAUUUUGGACAAUGGGCGAAAGCCUGAUCCAGCAAUGCCGCGUGCAGGAAGAAGGCCUUCGGGUUGUAAACUGCUUUUGUACGGAACGAAACGGCUCUGGUUAAUACCCGGGGCUAAUGACGGUACCGUAAGAAUAAGCACCGGCUAACUACGUG